rnacentral:lncRNA from 1 species
UCUCUUCUCUCUUAUCUCUUUAAAAUAUGUCUAUAGUUAUAGUUAUUGUAGCUGCUGUUUAUGCAAUGUAUUCAUAUGCACAGAUGGGCUAUCUAGCUCACCUCUCUUCUCUCUUAUCUCUUUAAAAUAUGUCUAUAGUUAUAGUUAUUGUAGCUGCUGUUUAUGCAAUGUAUUCAUAUGCACAGAUGGGCUAUCUAGCUAUCGUUUUUUUGAGAAGGGUAUUUUUACCUGGCCUCUAUAUCCACUCGGAUAUAUGCAGCCAUUUUUUUUAUUUUAGAAACUCUGGGAACUUAGCCCAAAUAGGGGAUCUAGCCCCUUAAAUACCCAAUUUGAAAUUCAUGCUCCUAUGAAGAUUUGAACCUAGGACCUUGAAUGUUACUCAAGUCACUGUAACCAUUAGGCUACGUGUCCUUUCACAGCUAUUUAGCUAUCUUAGCCG